GCCGGAGGGUGCAAGCGUUAUUCGGAAUCAUUGGGCGUAAAGAGCGUGUAGGCGGCCGGUUAAGUCAGGUGUGAAAGCCCGGGGCUCGACCUCGGAAGUGCACUUGAAACUGGUCGGCUUGAGUUCGGGAGAGGGAAGCGGAAUUCCUGGUGUAGAGGUGAAAUUCGUAGAUAUCAGGAGGAGCACCGGUGGCGAAGGCGGCUUCCUGGACCGAAACUGACGCUGAGACGCGAAAGCGUGGGGAGCAAACAGG
rnacentral:rRNA from 1 species